CCUACGGGUGGCAGCAGUAGGGAAUCUUUCACAAUGGGCGAAAGCCUGAUGGAGCAACGCCGCGUGCAGGAUGAAGGCCUUCGGGUUGUAAACUGCUUUUAUAAGCGAGAAAUAUGAUGGUAACUUAUGAAUAAGGAUCGGCUAACUACGUGCCAGCAGCCGCGGUCAUACGUAGGAUCCGAGCAUUAUCCGGAGUGACUGGGUGUAAAGAGUUGCGUAGGUGGCAUAAUAAGUAGCUAGUGAAAUCUGGUGGCUCAACCAUUCAGACUAUUAGCUAAACUGUUAAGCUCGAGACCGUUAGAGGUAACUGGAAUUUCUAGUGUAGGAGUGAAAUCCGUAGAUAUUAGAAAGAACACCAAUAGCGUAGGCAGGUUGCUGGGACGGUUCUGACACUAAGGCACGAAAGCGUAGGGAGCAAACGGGAUUAGAUACCCGUGUAGUC
rnacentral:rRNA from 1 species